rnacentral:lncRNA from 1 species
UACGUACGACCGGCGGUCCCGACGCGGCAUCGAGACGAGGUGAGGCGAGGCGAGGAGGUCCGCCGCUAUAAAACUACGAGGUCGGGGAACACGAGCCCAGUAACAAAUCUCAGACUCGGAACAGAAACUCGAAGAACAAAAAGUACAACAAUUAUUAUGCGUCCUCGACUCACCCUCGUCACUCUCGCCCUUCUGGUUGUCGUUGCCGGUGUUUGGGCCCUUCCGAAUCCCGUUAGCGAGACUCCGCAGUCCAGAGACGACGCGGUUUCCGCGACGACCUCACCGUCCACCGCGGCACCCGAAAGCAAAGCGGAAAGUGGUCGCAGACAGUCCGAUUGCAAGUGCACUUACAGCCCCGCGGAGCGCGAAGAAAAUCCUUCACCGGCGUCGAUUGGAACCGUUCCAAGCAAAUAGUUAAUUCUCUCAGUCGCAUGCACGGGGCGGUGACGUGAGCUGAUUGAAAAAGGAGGCUGUGCCGGUCUGAUGAGAAAUGCAAAUUUUGAAUCUACGAAGCUCCGACACCGAUGCGCCAAAGCAGUGUAAUAUCAGACAAUAAAUAAUGGGUGAACCAUGAA